UAAUAUAUAUUUUUUUCGUGCAGUUGAGAUUAAACAGUAUAAUUUUGUUUGCUGGUAAACAUAAUGAAUGAUAUUUUCUCUCAUUGCCGAGACGGAAAUUUAGUGGCUGUCAAAGUCUGGCUGGAUAACACAGAAAAUGAUCUAAACCAAGGAGAUGACCACCUAUUUAGUCCGUUACAUUGGGCAUGUCGUGAAGGUCAUAUGCAUAUCGUUGAAAUAUUGCUUAACCGUGGUGCACGAAUUAAUGCGGCAAACAUGGGAGACGAUACCCCCUUGCAUAACGCUGCUCAAAUGGGUCACUUUGAAAUCCUUAAGAAAAUAAUCAAGUACAAUGCUGAUGUCAAUGCAAUUAAUGAGCAUGGUAAUACACCGCUACACUAUGCUUGUUUUGGUCAACAUGCAGCAUGCGCUGAAGAGUUGGUUACUAAUGGAGCUACAGUGGGAAUCUGUAAUAAGUUCGGGCAGUCGUCGGUUUCUAAAGCAAGGCCAAUGUUGGCGAGAAAGCUCACUGAAAUGGCUGCUUCUCUGGGGCAGGAUCUUAAUCAAAUUGCUUAUAAUCAAAAUGUAUGGAAAGGAACCACAAGAACGAGAGCGAAAAAUGAAACCCUCCAUCAUGAAAAUGUGGAACUAACAAAGCUAAAUCUGAAAGGAAAGAUUGCUUCAACCCACUCUGGUGAAACCUGGAGAGGAAGAUGGGGCCAGCAAGAAAUUGUUGCCAAGAUAUUAAAAGUUCGAGACAUAACAUCCAGGAAAAUGCGAGAGUUUCAUGAGGAGUACCUUCGUUUGAGAAUAUUUUCUCAUCCCAAUGUU